rnacentral:rRNA from 1 species
GUGUGUGUGUCUGCCAGUGCGCAUACGCUCUUUUUAAAGACUAAGCCAUGCACGUGCUAGUACAUACAUUUUAAAUGUGAGACUGCGGACGGCUCAGUAAAUCAGUUAUAAUCUGCUCGAAUGUAAUGGUUAUUGGAUAACCGUGGGAAAUCUAGAGCUAAUACAUGUAAUUUAGGGUACGAGCAAUCGUAUCCAUGGCAUUUAUUAGAUAAUGACCAACCGUAGAUGCAAAUUUACGUGGUGAAUCUAGAUAACUGUGCAGAUCGUAUGGCCUUGAGCUGACGACAAUUCGAUUGAAUUUCUGCCCUAUCAACUUUUGUCGGUAGUGUAGUGGACUACCGAGGUUUUUACGGGUGACGGGGGAUCAGGGUUCGAUUCCGGAGAGGGAGCCUGAGAAACGGCUACCACAUCCAAGGAAGGCAGCAGGCGCGCAAAUUACCCAAUCCAGACAAUGGGAGGUGGUGACGAAAAGUACCGGAUGACGAUCUAUGAUUGUCAAUCUGGAAUGGAAUCAAUUUAAGCAAUUGAUUGAGUAACUACUGGAGGGCAAGUCUGGUGCCAGCAGCCGCGGUAAUUCCAGCUCCAGUAGCGUAUCUCAAAGUUGCUGCGCUUAAAACGCUCGUAGUUGGAUCACAGACUAUUCAUCGGUGGGUUAUGAAGUUUGUAUCAAAUUUAACGAGACAUUUGUGUGUCAUCACACAGUUGAGGAGUUGAAUGAUACCACUUUGUGCCGUAAGCUGGUGGAUAGUAAUUGCGCGUGAGGAUAGGCAUUGACCUUGAGUGAGUUGGUGCUUGUGUCUCACGGAGUGUGCCUUGAGUAAAUCAGAGUGCUUAAAGCAGGCUUUACGCUUGAAUGUUAUAGCAUGGAACGAACAAUCGUGUAUGGUGUAUACUGGCAAUGAUUAGUUGGACGUAGUCCGACGUCAUCAGUAUACGACACCGACCACCAGUUACGGAUGUUGGUUCCGUAUUGGGGUAUAGAUUAAGAGGAGCGGUUGGGGGCAUUGGUAUUUGGCAGCGAGAGGUGAAAUUCUUGGACCUGCCAACGACUAACAAAUGCGAAGGCAUUUGUCCAGACCGUAUCCAUUAAUCAAGAACGAUAGUGAAAGGUUCGAAGAUGAUCAGAUACCGUCGUAGUUUUCACUGUAAACUAUGCCGACCCGGGAUCAGUUUGGAGCUAUGUUCCAUGCUCGGAGUUGGUCCCCCUGGGAAACCUAAAGUUUUUCGGUUGCGGGGGGAGUAUGGUCGCAAGGCUGAAACUUAAAGGAAUUGACGGAAGGGCACCACCAGGGGUGGAGCCUGCGGCUUAAUUUGACUCAACACGGGACAACUUACCAGGUCCGAACAUCCGAAGGAUACACAGACUGAUAGAUCUUUGUUGAUUGGGUGAUGAGUGGUGCAUGGCCCGUUCUUAGUUCGUGGAGUG